GCUGUCGUCAGACUCGUGUGCGUGAGAUGAUGGGUUAAGUCCCGAAAACGAGCGCAACCCUUGUCCUUAGUUACCAGCACGUUAUGGUGGGCACUCUAAGGAGACUGCCGGUGACAAACCGGAGGAAGGUGGGGAUGACGUCAAGUCAUCAUGGCCCUUACGGCCUGGGCUACACACGUGCUACAAUGGUCGGUACAGAGGGUUGCCAAGCCGCGAGGUGGAGCUAAUCUCACAAAACCGAUCGUAGUCCGGAUCGCAGUCUGCAACUCGACUGCGUGAAGUCGGAAUCGCUAGUAAUCGCGAAUCAGAAUGUCGCGGUGAAUACGUUCCCGGGCCUUGUACACACCGCCCGUCACACCAUGGGAGUGGGUUGCACCAGAAGUAGCUAGUCUAACCUUCGGGAGGACGUAACCACGGUGGAUAAAA
rnacentral:rRNA from 1 species